GCCAGCCUCUACCGCUGGUUCCCCCCCAUCCCCGCCGCCUCCCGCAGCGCGGCGGGGUUCGAGCUGCCGCCCGCUGCAGGCAGCGCCGCCGUGAGGGGCUGCCCCGCCACCGGGCCCUGCCGUUACCUGGGAGAGCCAGGGAAGACCUAGAGGGGGGGGAAUCGGACCCUGUGCCCAGGACCUGGGUGGAAGUGCUCCAUGAUCACUGCUGUGUCAGUGAUAAGUAUCAAUGCACACUGCAUGGCACCCUACAAUGCUGAAGAGGAGACAGUGCUGAGGACCUGCCCAAAUACACCUAUCCCAGACCUGACCUGCUUUGUGCUGGAGAUCCUGUCACUUUGCUGAAGUGAUGCAGAGGACAAAAAACGUGGAGGUCAAGUUCAGCAAUACGUGGCAAUGCACAGCCUGGACUAUGAAGGGAGCUAUUUUUAACCUGGAUGUGUUCUGUGAUUUGUUUCCCACACAGCAUUGAAACUGGCACAGCUGAGGGGUUGGCGGCAAUGAAGUUGCACCAAGAAGUCCAAGAGCAAUCAGGAGAGACUUCAGGGCUUCAGGAUGGUUGUUUAAGGGGUCGGGAGCACAGCAGUUCCUGAGGGAGAACAGACUGCAUUGUUUGUGAGCUUCAAUCCAGGUCAAGCAGGCCGGAUCUUCCACAGAGAAGUUGCUGACUUUGGCCCCAAAAUAUCAUUGUUAAGGUAAGAAAAAUAUCAAAUUUCUCUUAAUUUUUCCUAGUUGGUACAUUGUAAAGGCAUUCAGACCACUGUAGACAUAAGCAUUCAGGAAACAACACUAAGCAACACAAAGAACAAAAACCAGUAGGUACUUCCUGAGAAGUUUGGAAAACUGACUCUUAUGCCACUGAGGGAGGGUAAGUCCUAAUAGCUACAGUAGCCACAUGUCACCUGGGACCAGAGUGUGAAUGAUUCUUUUGUAAUAUUACUUGGUGAAUGUCUCAACAUCUUGAGCUCAUUGCAGAAGAGAAAAGAAAAAGCUGGACAGUGUUAUUUUCUGAUGGCACUGGAACAUUAAUUUCUCUGUGAUGGUAUCCAACUGUCUUGGAUAUCUGAGCAGGCAGGUCAAAGGAAAGCAAUGUGUAGACUUGAUUUUCGAAAGCACCUUUUUCCAGUAAGUGUGAACUUAUUUUCUUUUAGGAAUAAUAUUUUUUCCUGGCAUAUUGUAACAGAAAUAAUAAAAUAAACAAAAGCAUGGUAUACUUGUAAGAUGAACCUCAGAGCUAUACCGGGCAAGAAGCUGUCUCAAGGCAGCCUUCGUUUCCCCAGGGACUUGCACUCCAGCCACUCCCUGCCCUGGGCUAGUGUGCUGUGAUGCCCUGGCCUGUCCCAUCCUGGGCUCCCCCCCGUUCUGUAGCUCUGAGCCCUGCCACUUCCUGUCCUCGGAAAGGCAGAGGUGGUGGAGCAGGCUCCCAGCAGCUACAGAGGAGCAGAGGGUCUCCUUGCAGGAGAUGGAGAAGACACCUCUGCCAUAGGGCUGCAACAGGGGCAGUCACAGGCUUCCCUCUACAGCUGGCAGCACUCUGCUUUUUCCCAUCAUUUAUUAUCUGAUGUCUGGUUUUGUCUGUUUUGUGCUGGCUUGCUGGCUUUUGGGACACCUCCUCCUUGGGCUGCCAAGGAUGGUGGCAGUGUCCUCACGCCGAGGGUAUUGGCCCCGGCCCUGGGCACAAAGCAUCCAUCCCCACUGCUCGCCUGACCCUCCCCUUGAGACCUACUUUUGCUGGGAGAAACAAGGUAACCUCGCCACUGAAAAUAGCUGGGACGGCAGCCAGUGGAGAUUAAUGGCAUCAUUAACGUUCUCAGUUUAUUUAUAGGCUUAAAAAUGCCUCGGACCUGCAAACUGAGCAGAGUUGUUCUGUGUAACACAGGGACUGACGAGUCUCCUGCUUCUGCCUUUCCCCUAUUUCAUUCUGAUUGCUGGGACUGCAAAACCUCCGGAGCAGGGACUGUCUCUCAUUGUGAACCUACUCUGUAAACCUUCCUAACUGGGGGGAUGCACACAGAUACUUUUUUUUUUCCAAGAAUGCUGUAUUUGUCUGGUCUCCUUCCUCCACCAACUCCUUCUGUGCACACUGUGUCCCAUGGCCUUCUUUGGGAAAAUUAUCUUUUUGAUGAAUUCCUGAGGCACGAGCUGAGCGGUUGUCACAGGAAUUUUCUGUGAUUUUCUGCCUUGGGUUUUAAAUUAUGCGCUCUGUAAGAGGAGGACUAAGAUUCUCAUAGCUGUGGAGAGCACCUAGGAUACGUAGGGCCCUAGUGAGACUGUAGAUGCAAUUAAUGAUCAUGGAGGUCUUUCAACAGGAGCCAGCAGAGACAACCCAGCUCCCAGGUCCCCCAGGAACCUCAUGGGACUAGCGAGAAAAGAAAAAAACACCUCAGGUGUGUUGGCCCCAGAAGAGGAGUUUUCAGCAUGUAAUGUGUGGCCACAUUGCCUGGCCUGUUUCCCAGCACUUAGUGAAAGGGGGUGAAAUAAAGAAUGGGCAGAGAAUCACUCAAACCACUGUUGUCUUUUUUUUCCCUCUGGGCAAUGAGAAUACUUCAGAGCAGAGUGAAGGAGCCUAAAAUGGUAGAAGGAGGAUUUCUCUGUCGUGGCCACAACAGGAAAGAGAUACAUCUUAUACAGUUGUUUCUCAUCUAAACUUCUGAGCACCUAACCAGAAAAGUCAGCACAACUUUCUCACACUGAUGUCAGACUAGGGGAGUGAGUCUUGUGGCAAAAGGGACCAUCUGCAUCUCAAACUAAUUACCUGCUUUGAAAAGUGAAUAUACAAAGUGCAUUGCAGGCAGCAAAGGCAUCGCUGUGCUUUUACGAGAAAAAUCAAGAGCGCAAGAGCACAUUUUGAAGUGAAGGCACAUUGUCAAUAAUUAUGCACGGUUUGGGUUUGUGCUGUCUUGCCACUCAUCCUUGGAUCCUACACUGAGUCCUGACUUUCUUAUGGCACAGAUAAUAACUUAAAAGAAAGAAACCCAACAGAAUUUCCACGAUCUAUAUCUACAGCAUCACACAUGGAAGACAUAACAUUUGAUGGCUGGCGGCUUUGAAAAAAAUCACAGCUCCAUUGUGCUCCAAAGGCAUAUUGAAUGAUUCAGAUGGAAAGAAAAGCCCACGUCAGUAGGAACAGGGGACUCAAAUACGAGCGUUGAGGCCGACAGACCAGAGGCAUCAAUCCUAGGCAGUAGCAUAUCCUGGCAAUGCUGCACCCUGUGACAGCACUGACAUUAUGGUUUCCCCCUCUCUGUUGUGGGUGUGUGGAAGGCAGGUGCUGCUCCCGGUAUUAGGGGUGUUCCUGAGCACCCCUGGUACCACAGGAAUGGCACUGAUUGCCUGGGGGUGGUGGGGCAGCAGGACAACACUCCUGUCCUACCUGGGGAGCGCAGAUCCAGCCUCCAGCAGCUGGUGGGGAGGUGAACUCACUGCUUCCUCCUGGAGCAGGGCUGGCAGCAGUGGAUGUUAGGCAGGGCAGGAGGAAGGGGAUAGGGUCACCACCGAGUGACCCCUAGCAGAGGCAGAACCUCAGUGCUCCUGCGUGGAAUCAGAGCAUGAAGUGCUAGACAUGUUGUUGCUGUUACUGAACAUCUGGUGCAAAUGCUCCCCAAAAAUAGAUAAUUUCCUUCUUCCACCUCAAAGGAAACAGUGUUGGAAGGAGUCUCAGUCAUAGCUGGGCUGGUGCAAGGAAGGGUCCCUGCGAUAGGCGGGUUUACUGGCAGCCUCCAACUUGGAGAUUGUUACACCUCCUGGCAUGUGACUCGGACCAGCCAUCAGUCCCAGGCAGGAUCCAAGGGGUUAGUCCUGUGAAAUGCCCUGACACCCACAUGGGUGCUGUGCCUCUCAGCCCCUGCCUCAGAGCACAAACCCACUAGCACUUUGCCACUGGUGGGUGACAAAGCAAACCCAAAGCCUUCAGUCCCAAAAACCUGCUAUUAAAGCUGCUCCUGUGCCGAGGGGCUCAGACUGUGAUCAGUCCUCACCUGCAUUUCCCAGUUCCAGUUUUACAUUACAGUGGUAGUUCACAGCACCUUCCUUAUUGGCAGGCAUCAGUAGAAAUGCGUGUCAACAAAACCGAAGCGAGCGUAAGCGCCGCUGCAGACAAGUCUAAUAAAAUAUGAGUCACUGUUAUUCAAUCAUUUACCAGCGCACAUUCUACAACAAAGUUCUCUCCUCUAGGAUCACCACCACACAAAUUUGAGAGUUUUUUUUUAAAGAGAACUGUGAUUUUACUUUUAACUGCGUAGCUGAGUCUUCAGAGGGCUGGUGCCUGUUAUCCCUGCUUGCAGCCCGGUGCUCUGCUCCCUGUGCAUCUGACAUUUUCAAGCCAGGUGUGCGGCACCAAGCCCUGGCACGACCCAUGACUCGUGCUCAGCCUGGUGUGGCCAUGGGCAAGAGCUCCACAUCGUCCUUCCUCCUGGCAGUUUUCAUGCCUCCCCAGCACCAGGAGCGAACUGGCAGCAAGGCAGGGGCUGCCAGGGAAACCCCCCACUCCAGUUGCCAUCGAUGGCCCUGCACUGCUGCACGCCUUCAUCAUCUGUAGCGCCACUGGCUGGUGUUUAGGGAUAGGCAUUUUCCCCCUGGGCUGGGAUGGUUUUUAAUUUUUGGUAACAAAUGCACUUGACAAACAUGGCAGCACACCCUCCGUAAGCCUAAUUUUUUGAAUGGCAUCUUGCAAGAAGCAUUUAAAUGGUGACCUCUUGCUGCUGUAAGAUAUGUGGGGAGAUGGUCCUUUCCAGGCAUUCAAGCUGUAGUGCUUGGUCUUUCUUGUUUUUACCAGGGAACUUUUGGGAGGUCAGAAAUAUAGGAAUCGAGGUUUUGCUGCCUUAGCGGGUGAAAGGCUGCUGGAAGCAUGCAGAUGAACUUCCUUUGUGCCAAGUGACUGUCAUUUAAGUCAAACACUUUUUAACAAUAGAAGCAAGAUUUUAAAAGGGUGUAGCUAAAAACCCCCACAUUCGCUUGUCCUCCUUGCUCUGUGCUGCUGUGCCGUCUUGCCGCUUAGCUUGAUCUUGAGCACUCCCGCUGCAGGGAAGGCUUGAGCUUCUGAUGUGGCAAACAGGUAGACUAAGCUAAUUUAGCGCUUAAGUCUUUUAUUCCGUCAUAAAGUGGGAAAAGGGAAGGCUCUUCUCUCUUGCGGGUCACCUCUAAUAGCAAUUGCUUCAGCAAGAUGGAUUUCAAAAUUAGGUGCUCUUGAAGCAGAAGCCACACUGUAUUUUUCAGCAGCACAAAGCAGCCGUAAGAGCAAUCUGACCUUCAUUCUUCAUAAUAAAUUCAUUGGGGGAAAAAAUCCAUCUUUGUUUUUCAGCUUGAAGUACUGUCAAAAGAAAAGCCAGGGUACGACAUAUACAAAAUAAAAAGUACAAGACAACUUCAGCAAAAUGAUAAAAAACUCUCAGAGAUUUACUUUUCCUGUUUUUUCUUAUUCCAGCAUCGGAAGAAAGUCUGACAGCUUGUCUACAAGUACAUUAUUUUGGAAUAAAGGCUGGUGUUAAUUUGAAGUGAAUCUAUUCUAGACUAAAUUAAUACCAUCUCAAAAGUGGUUUUCAGAUGUAGGGUGCAAUCCAGUAGCAAAGUCUGAGGAAAACACAUACCCACACUUAGGUACCAUGUUGGACUAACACAUUUGUAAAACGUCCCUUAAUGUAUUUCAGGUGCUAAAAUAAUGUCUACUGCAGCCUGACAAAGGAAAAUGGCACACACUGUUAUUUUCUUCUAAAGCAGCCCCAAAAAGAUGUGAUCUGUAGUCAAGGGCAGACCCGUAAGCUAAAGAAUAUCAUAAAGCAAUGUUGUUUGACAGUAUUUGGCAUUUUUGUUAUUAAUGAAACAAUUGGUACAUUUGAGUCCUAAAAGCCUGUAACUAGUCAGUUGCUAAUGGUACAGCAUGGAAACAGCAAAAAUUAAUCAUCUCUAGUAUUAAAUUCUAUCUUUGUAUUUUGCCAUGUCUCUGUUACAGACACUGUAUUGAAUAACACAUUAUAACCCAACACAGCACACUGUCUUUAUUCCUUUAAUCUCCUGUCAGGCAUAGCUGGGAAGGCAGAAUGGGAAUGUUUACUCUAACAGGUCUAACCCUUAGGCUAGCAAGAAUU